ACUUGCUUUUUAUUGAAAAAACUCGUGUUUGGAGUUCUCAUAUAGAAAAACACAUGUAAUAGUCAGUACUGAUAAAGAUAUAAUCAGUACGUAUAAGGACGGCAAAACAAUUAAUUCAAUCAGUGUAACUAUAUAUUGCUUUAAAAUGUUGAUAUUUUAAAAAGUAUAGUUAUUACUUCUUGCUUGCACCUCUAGAAUUCGAAGACAUUUUUUUUGUUUCUUUAUAAAGAUGUCAUUCAACAGCAACGACAAUGGUGUGUGUAUUAAAUAUAACUGAAUUUAUCAAAAUAGAAGUAACACUGAACAUGGAACCGAAACUAAAAGGUUGUUUUUCUUCAUUUUAUAACAGAAAAAAAUAUAUUUCAAUUGUUUUAAAGAUGAUUCUUUGUCGGUGAAAACCCCCUCUUAUUCUCCCCUUUUUGGUCUGCAUGUAAGAGUAUAUACUUGAAGGUUCCGUCUUGUUUGAAGUGAAAUCUCUGAAAAUCACUUUCAGAUUCUGUAGCUUGAUUCUCUUUGGUCAUCACACUAGUGGUAUUUUUUAGCUGACAUCUGUGAAGCAGAAGAUAGAGAGCAUUAACUCCAUAUAAUCAGAGAAGUACCACUCUUGCUGUUGAUAAUCUGAAUGAAGCUGAGGUGUUGCGGGUGGGGUCACAAAAGUGGAACACUGUGGUUAAUACGUAAAGAGAGAGAAGAGGAAGAUGAUGAAACAAAGCAGAAUUGAUAUCAAGGCAAGAUCACAACGACGUAUAGGAG